rfam:Micromonospora humi strain DSM 45647 genome assembly, contig: Ga0070213_112
GCCGCGGUAGCUCAGCGGGAGAGCAACGCCUCGACAAGGCGUAGGUCGCUGGUUCGAUCCCAGCUCGCGGCA